rnacentral:piRNA from 1 species
UGAGUCCCUAAUAAAUGCACAGUUGUUGAU